UUGAAGAUGAUUUAAAUUUCUGGCUUGAAUUUUAUUGAAACUAGUUAUCACCGUGGAAUUAAACCGAUAUAAAACAACGAAUGCCUUUGAUACCCUCAAUUAUCGAUCUCUGAUGCAAUGCAUCUUAAUGAACCUGCCGUUUGUUUGAGUUAUUAAACAAGAAGAAGAUCUCCUCUGGCGCACAUAACCGGAAUUCCGCGCAGCUCUAUGCAAAUGACAUUUUCGGAUGGCGUUUAUUCUAAAUUGGGAAUAUAAGCUAUUAUCUAUGGCUCAAACGAAAAGCCAUUGACAAUGGCAGUGAACCCACGAAAGUCACUCGGCUCAACGAUGUAAGGAACAGGUUUGGAGCGAUUGCGAUUACGAUUACGAGGUAUCCACUAGGCUGAGGCCUUUGGAAGCGGCUCCAAAUUAAUCACCCAGCAAAAGCGAUAGAAUGGGGGAAUUUUUGUUAGCACCAUCGGAAGACAGAAGGCGAAGGAGAACUCAUGAGCGAAUCGAUUAAAGAAGGUAAUUAGAUGUUCGGAUAACCGCUAAUUUCCGACGACAUCCAUCAAAAGACACGGAUUCCUUAACAAAAAAAUGUGCACUCGAAGAAAAUAGGUAUUCCAUUUAAAUUUAAAGAAAGUUCUCUAAGAUAUUCAUCCAUCCAUAAUCCAUAACAAUCUAAAUGCUUGUGUAAAGUAUCUCAAAGUCUUUAUGGUCCCAUUAUCACUUAAUAAUACUAUUAUUUUUCCGGUGUACCUAACCCAUGCGAGGGGCAGGGGAAAUUUAAAAUGCAGAGGAGUCGAGAUGUGAAAAGAAUUCGAAUUUAAUUUAAACACAAACCUGAAAUAUAAGCAAUGCUAAUGCCAAACCCAAAACCGAAA
rnacentral:sRNA from 1 species